rnacentral:rRNA from 1 species
AUUGAACGCUGGCGGCAUGCCUUACACAUGCAAGUCGAACGGUAACAGGACUUCGGAUGCUGACGAGUGGCGAACGGGUGAGUUAUACAUCGGAACGUGCCCGAUCGUGGGGGAUAACGAGGCGAAAGCUUUGCUAAUACCGCAUACGAUCUACGGAUGAAAGCGGGGGAUCUUCGGACCUCGCGCGGACGGAGCGGCCGAUGGCAGAUUAGGUAGUUGGUGGGAUAAAAGCUUACCAAGCCGACGAUCUGUAGCUGGUCUGAGAGGAUGAUCAGCCACACUGGGACUGAGACACGGCCCAGACUCCUACGGGAGGCAGCAGUGGGGAAUUUUGGACAAUGGGCGAAAGCCUGAUCCAGCCAUGCCGCGUGCAGGAUGAAGGCCUUUGGGUUGUAAACUGCUUUUGUACGGAACGAAAAGCCUCUUUCUAAUAAAGAGGGGUCAUGACGGUACCGUAAGAAUAAGCACCGGCUAACUACGUG